UACGUAGGGGGCGAGCGUUGUCCGGAUUUAUUGGGCGUAAAGGGCUCGCAGGCGGUUCUGCGCGUCGGAUGUGAAAGACCCUGGCUCAACCGGGGGGUGGCAUUCGAUACUGGGCGGCUAGAGUCUGGUAGGGGGAUCUGGAAUUCCUGGUGUAGCGGUGGAAUGCGCAGAUAUCAGGAGGAACACCGGUGGCGAAGGCGGGAUCCUGGGCCAGUACUGACGCUGAGGAGCGAAAGCGUGGGGAGCAAACAGG
rnacentral:rRNA from 1 species